AAACAAGUUUCUUGAUACUUAUAAGGCGAACAUACUUACAAGGUGAACCCAUACAAAGAAAUAAAAUCUUGAUGACUUGUGAGCUUUGCCUAUUAACUUAAAAUUAACGCUGACAAGUUUCUUGUUCUGUACCAUGGUAAGUCAUGAGUCUGCUGUCUUGAUACAAGGAAAUAUUGGUUUUCUGCUUAUUCGUUCAUAUCUUGUUAUUGAAAGGAUUGCCAGUGUAUUAGUAAUUCAAGUUUCACCUUUCGCAGUGUAGUCUGGAAUAUUUGUAAUUAGCAAGAUGAACUCCUAUCAAGUACUCCCAAGGUUUUCUGAAACUGUACGAACAUUUGCUAACAGAAACUUAAGUUAGCAAGUUAGCAUAGCUGCUUAGCUACCAAGUUGCUAUGCAGUUAAUAACUUAAUAUACACCUAUGUUAAAUACAUAUACUUGUUGAAAGGUUUUUGUGUACUGCUCCUUGUCCUUUAUGUGACAUUUAGUUUCGUAGUCAGUCAUAAAUGGAUCCAGGUAGAUGUAUGGAUAUCUAUAUGGUGGAUGAUCCGUGUCAUUCUUUUACAGGUCAUAAUAUGCACCCACACAAUUCAAGUUCAUAUUUUGGAAGGACAUUGACCAACGAACCUUGUAGUAAUGUUACAGGUCAUAAAAUUGUGUAUUCCUACUAACCAUCAUUGCAUGUGUACAGUGGUUAGAGAUUUUGUAGUGGAUAAUCAAUUAUCUUUAUUUGCUUCUAACUCAAGGAAUCAUACUGCAACAUUUCCUCCAGUGCAGGCAAACUCGAAUGAUAGUUAGUAAACUUGGUUAGUAAUAUUUUUUGUUUUCUUACCUUGCAUUUGUGAUACAUCACUGAACAUGUUUAUUAGUUUGUCACGUCACUCCUGCUUGACGUGCCAAUUCACAAAGGGCAGCCCGGUGCACAUAGCUCCCGCUUGCGCAGGGUCCGGGGAACGGUCCGACCACUUGACAUGUCAAUUCACAAAAAUGAAAGAAAUCCAGAUGACCUGUGAACCUCCUUGUUGACAUAAAAUUAAUGUUGUUUUAUGUCUAAACCUCAUCUAUUAUAUACAAGUAGAGUUACGGUGGUGGAUUUCAAUUCUUGUAACUUAGUUUUCUUAUGAGAUGUAACUCAUCUACUAAUAUAUAGUAGUAUAUAUAAAGUUUCUUAAUCAAGCCGGCCUAAUGGACGGCACCAUACUUAGCAAAGCUAAUAGACGGCCCAUGCCCAGUACGAUUUUUUCAACUGUUGUAUAAUGAUAUUAUGAUUUCGUGUUAUUUUUCAGAAGAUCUGGGUGAUGAAGCUGACUCAAUAGAUCCAUAUUUUGGCCCCUAAAGCUGGUAGUGCAUCCUUGUCUAUGGUGUGGACAGAGGGAGAAAGGAGGCAAUUAACUACAGUCUGAAUGUAAAAUAAAAAUCGUCUGAAUUAAAAUAGAAUCUGAUAAAACAAAACAAAGGAGGUCAUUAACUAGAGAAUUAGGCUGGACUAGAUAUACAUAUUAUACUGUAUUUUCCCACUAAAAACAUCCAGCGGGGAGGCUGAUGCAGCACUAUCACGAAUUGUUCCAGCUCUUCCUGAAUCGAUAUGGUUUGUCGAUGUUGGGAUCCUCGACGGUGAUUAGCAACUGAAUCGUGGAUGGAAGUACACUUUACUUCAAAGGAUUGCACACAUAUGAAGCGGUUAUUGAUGAAGUCAUGGAAAAGGGACUUCCCAAUGCUACACAGUCAUGAAAUCUUUGUCUGUUUCACUCUUCUUCCAUACAUGAUAUACAAGGUUCUUGGGAUGCUCGGUACUGUUGCCAGGAGGUACGAAAUGGUUUGAUCUGUCAAGCAUGGAUUGCUGAAGCACAAAAUACAAGGGGGGUGCAUGAGGAGGCGAGAGCUGACGGCAACCAUUGGAGGAGGUCUGGUCGGUCGAAGAGUAAGGCAUGGGCAACUCCGGAGAGAUUUGGCUUGAGCAAAUAUCGAUGCUGCUACAAUGAGAAGACCCUUUCUGUGAGCCCUAUCCCUCUCAUUUAGCGUCUCGAUUUUGGGUUCUUCUGCUCCCUGUUUCUCUGUUCAUUCGUGGUGAUGGAUAGAAAGCAUACCAUACUUCCAUAGGCUUCGAUGUCCCGACGAGACCCUACAUCAUAAUCAAGGAGGAUCCUACAUCUAAAGGAAACAGAGCAGUCUAUAUCAUUAGUCUAUUACUGAUUUCUAGAAGAAGGAAAAAGGGAGAAAUGGUUGUUUCAGCUACUCUACAUUUGCUUUAAAAUUGGUGUACAUAUAUCAAGAAGAACUUGGUUGCAAAAGUGAUCAAACAUAACAUUCAACACAAACACAUUGGUUUUGUAAUUACAUGCCUAAGAUCUUUUAAUUUUGCAUUAAA